UAUUGUUGUAACCUCGUCGGUGGCUUUAUUACCAAUUGGGCAGCCAUUGUACGAUCAUGUUGAGAAAUAUACAGAAAUAUUCUUUGAUUCCCUCUACUCUUGGUAAAUUCCUAAGGUAGAAAGAUAGAGUCUUAUCAUUGGUAUAAGGCCAUUGAUCUUCUAAGUUGUUCCUUUAGUGUAUGACAUGUGCUCGUGUUCGUACUCAUUCGGUAACAAUGGAAGCUCACGUUUCUGCGCUCGAAGCCUCUAAUUCCAAAAACCAACACAUUUUAGAAGCCAUUCAACGUCUUCUUAAGGAUAAGUUCACGUCAAUUGAUAAACGUCUUGAUUCAAUUGAUUCUCAUCGUGAAGAUUCUGAUCAUCCCCUUCUGCAUCCAUCUUACGACGACGAUGGGGAUGGCUUUCGGCGGCGGGGAGAGAGGGAUCACUGUGAGAGGUAAAGGGGUUUUCUUUCUAAGAAUCGUAUGCCCUUUGUUAAGAUGGAAUUUCCCAGAUUCAACGAUGGGGAUGAUCCAAUUGAAUGGGUUUACAAGGCGGAGCAGUAUUUUGAUUAUUUGGAUUAUUUUUCGGUGCCAUCUAAGAAGAAGGUAAAAAUGAUUUCUUUCCAUCUGGAUCGUGAGGCUUUACAAUGGUAUUAGUGGGAGGAAUGUGCUUCUUCUUUGUCCAAGUGGGAAGAUUUUACCAGGACCUUUUGUAGAGAAUUUGGCUCUUAUGGGUUUGAGGAUUUUGCAGAGUCACUGUUUAAGCUUCAUCAAAUUGGUUCUUUAAAGGAUUAUAUCUCUGAAUUUCGACAUUUGGCAACUCGAAUCCGAGAUCUUAGUCCAAAUUUUCGAUUGAGCUGUUUCAUUGGUGGAUUAAGGGAAGAACUCAAGCAUGAUGUCAAGUUGCUUUGUCUUGCUACAUGAAUUUUGCUCAUGAAGUGGAUGUUAAACUCCAAAAGUUGAGGUAUGUGCAUUUUUCUGGAAAUUUUAAGUCAAGAUUGCCUCUUUUACCCAUUCAAAAUGAUUUAGUUCCUGCUGAAAGUGAUAUUGUUCCGAGGAAGGAUAUGCCUAUCAAGAAAUUAACUCUUGCGGAAAUCCAAUAUAAACGACUGAAUAAUCUUUGCUUUUAUUGUGAUGAAAAAUUUGUGAGGGGCCAUAAGUGUGCUAGGAAACAAAUCUUAUUGCUGGAUAUAUGGGUUAUAAUAGCUCCAAGGAAGAGGAAAUAGUUCAAGAAUUGCAACACAUUUAAUAGGUAGCUGAGGUGAAUGCUUGUUGUAUCAUAAGGUAGCUCUCUCUUUGCAAGCAGCCCAAGGAGAGAAAAGAAAUGAAGCCCAAACUCCAGUCCAUUUUCGGAAGCAACCUUGCAAGCCCCAAAACGCACGUUUUUACUGCUAAGAUGGGAAUACAGUCUUCAUGAAAGUUGGUCCAAUAUGUGUCUAUUAUAACAUAUCCAAAUGUGAGCUCCAUUGGAUACAUAUUGAAACCUAUGGUCUUCCUAAACCAAUCCUGGUUCAAGAAGAAUUCCUUUUUCCAGCAACCUAAAGGAAUGAUUGUAGCCAACCAAAAAGAUAGCAGUCAGCAACUUUGGACAGCAACCAUGUGUGCAGCAGCAAAGUCACAUGAUUUACCACAGCAAAAGAAGUAUAAAGCAUGUUGUUGGCUGACACAAGAUAUGAAAUUCAAAUGCCAAUAUGCCUACAAGUAAUGAGCAGAGAAACAUAAAGAAAAGAAAGAGGGAUGGCAGCUGCCAAAAGAAGAAAGAUAAUGAAAAAGAAUGUUGAGCUGCAGCUUACA